rnacentral:tRNA from 1 species
AAAAAGUUCUUUAGGCAC